rnacentral:rRNA from 1 species
GAGGAAUAUUGGUCAAUGGACGUAAGUCUGAACCAGCCAAGUCGCGUGAGGGAAGACUGCCCUAUGGGUUGUAAACCUCUUUUAUAAGGGAAGAAUAAGUUCUACGUGUAGAAUGAUGCCUGUACCUUAUGAAUAAGCAUCGGCUAACUCCGUGCCAGCAGCCGCGGUAAUACGGAGGAUGCGAGCGUUAUCCGGAUUUAUUGGGUUUAAAGGGUGCGUAGGCGGUUUAUUAAGUUAGUGGUUAAAUAUUUGAGCUAAACUCAAUUGUGCCAUUAAUACUGGUAAACUGGAGUACCAGAGAGGUAGGCGGAAUAAGUUAGGUAGCGGUGAAAUGCAUAGAUAUAACUUAGAACUCCGAUAGCGAAGGCAGCUUACCAGACCUGUAACUGACGCUGAUGCACGAGAGCGUGGGUAGCGAACAGGAUUAGCUCCCCUGGUAGCCCACGCCGUAAACGAUGCUCACUGGUUCUGUGCGAUA